rnacentral:rRNA from 1 species
UCCUUUUGUAUAUAAUUUAAGGUCUAGCCUGCCCACUGAAAUUUUAAAUGGCCGUGGUAUUUUGACCGUGCUAAGGUAGCAUAAUCAUUAGUUUUUUAAUUAAAAACUGGAAUGAAAGGUUGGAUGAGAAAAUAGCUGUCUCUAUUAAAUUUAAUUAGAAUUUUAUUUUUAAGUUAAAAAGCUUAACUAUUAUUAAAAGACGAGAAGACCCUAUAGAGUUUAAUUAUUUAGUAAAAAUUAUAUUUUAGUAUUAAUUUAUUUAUUUUAUUAAAUAAUUUAAUUGGGGUGAUUGAAAAAUUUAAUUAACUUUUUUUAUUUAAGAACAUUAAUUUAUGAAUAAAUGAUCCAAUAUUUUUGAUUAUAAGAUAAAAUUACCUUAGGGAUAACAGCGUAAUUUUUUUAGAAAGUUCAUAUUAAAAAAAAAGAUUGCGACCUCGAUGUUGGAUUAAAAUAAAUUUUUGGUGUAGAAGCUAAAAUAUUAGGUCUGUUCGACCUUUAAAAUUUUACAUGAU